rnacentral:rRNA from 1 species
GAUGAACGCUAGCGGCAGGCUUAAUACAUGCAAGACGAACGGUAAGUUAGGUAGCAAUACUUGACCUAGAGUGUCGUACGGGUGCGUAACACGUAUGCAACCUACCUUGUACAGGAGUAUAGCUCGGGGAAACCCGUAUUAACCCUCCAUAAUAUCAUUUGGUGGCAUCAUCGAAUGAUUAAAACUGAGGUGGUACAAGA